rnacentral:tRNA from 1 species
GGUAGUUUAGUUUAAUGGUAAAACACUUGACGUGUAAUCACAGAGAUGUGAGUUCGAGUCUCAUGGCUGGCCA